AAGUUUCACCUCUUGGAAAAAUAUAUUCAUUUAGCUCGCUCUUCACAAGACUAGAUUUCAUCCUUCAAGGAUUUU
rnacentral:sRNA from 1 species